rnacentral:rRNA from 1 species
UACAGAGGGUGCGAGCGUUAAUCGGAAUUACUGGGCGUAAAGCGUGCGUAGGUGGUCUUUUAAGUCCGUUGUGAAAGCCCUGGGCUCAACCUGGGAAUGGCAGUGGAUACUGGAAGGCUGGAGUACGGUAGAGGAGGGUGGAAUUCCCGGUGUAGAGGUGAAAUUCGUAGAUAUCGAGAGGAACACCGGUGGCGAAGGCGGCCAACUGGACGAAUACUGACGCUGAGACUCGAAAGCGUGGGGAGCAAACAGG